rnacentral:tRNA from 1 species
GCAGUGAUAGUUCAGCGGUAGAAUUCUUGCCUUUUGUGCAAGACUCGGGUUCGAUUCCUAGCCAAUGUA